AAAGUUAGAGGUUCGAAGGCGAUCAGAUACCGCCCUAGUUCUAACCAUAAACGAUGCCAGCCAGCGAUCCGGCUGUGUUCCUCAAAUGACACGCCGGGCAGCUUCCGGGAAACCAAAGCUUUUGGGUUCCGGGGGAAGUAUGGUUGCAAAGCUGAAACUUAAAGGAAUUGACGGAGGGGCACCACAAGCAAUGGAGCUUGCGGCUUAAUUUGACUCAACGCGGGACAGCUCACCUGAACCGGACACAGGAAGGAUUGACAGAUUAAGAGCUCUUUCUUGAUUCUGUGGAAGGUGGUGCAUGGCCGUUCAUAGUUCUUGGAGCGAUUUGUCUGGUUAAUUCCGACAACGAACGAGACUCUAGCCUACUAAAUAGACGUUCCGAUCAUCUCCGUCGGACGUUCUUCUUAGAGGGACAAGCGGCGUUUAGCCGCACGAAACAGAGCGAUAACAGGUCUGUCAUGCCCUUAGAUGCUCGGGGUUGCACGCGUGCUACAAUGAAGGUAUCAGCGUGUGCUUUCCCUGUCCGACAGGACUGGGUAACCCGUUGAACCUCCUUCGUGCUGGGGAUAGGGGCUUGUAAUUGUUCCCCUUGAACGAGGAAUUCCUAGUAAGCACGAAUCAUUACUUCGUGUUGAUUACGUCCCUGCCCCUUGUCCACAYCGCCCGUCGCUACCUGCAAUUGAAUGAUUUAGUGAGGUCAUCGGACUGGCGCUCGGAGCGGCCUUCGGGUCGCGCCGGCGUGCUGGAAAGAUGAUCGAACUUGAUUAUU
rnacentral:rRNA from 1 species